UACGUAGGGCGCAAGCGUUGUCCGGAAUUAUUGGGCGUAAAGAGCUCGUAGGCGGCCUGUUGCGUCCGCUGUGAAAUCCCGGGGCUCAACCCCGAGCCUGCAGUGGAUACGGGCAGACUAGAGGUAGGUAGGGGAGAAUGGAAUUCCCGGUGUAGCGGUGAAAUGCGCAGAUAUCGGGAGGAACACCGGUGGCGAAGGCGGUUCUCUGGGCCUUACCUGACGCUGAGGAGCGAAAGCGUGGGGAGCGAACAGG
rnacentral:rRNA from 1 species